ACGUCACGGAGGAGCGCUCAAACCUCGGCGAUCGGACACAGCGCUGCCCCCGGCGCCCCGUGCUUUCAAGCACGCCUAAAGCCCCCAGGUAUCUGCAACCUGAGCACCAGUGACCCAAGAAGUACUUUUAUUGGAGGGCGGUUUCCCCGGGGAACGGAAGGAUGAACAGGGCGGUCGUACAAAGAGAGGAGGCGGAGGGGAAUUGUAGCGAGCGAAAUCGAGGGUUACAGCAGUGUGUCCUACGGGAAGAGGCUGAGACUGAGAGAAGGGGACCAGCAGCCAGACCUAAACAGCCACAAACACAACCCACCCUACCAGCACUGUUUGAACAACAGUGGGAAUACAGUGCCAAAUCACCAGAGGCACAAAAGCUCAACAGGGCUGUUGCCGAGUAAAUUUUUUUAUGGACCAGAUCUCUGUCUACACUGUUGAAAAACCUGGCUUUCAACAUAUGUUACACCCCCUGAACCCACAGUAUGUUCUCCCCUCCACAAGCCACUUCAUGUACACAGAAAUUCCACAACUGUACACCACCACCAAGCAAACGAUCCUAGCACAACUUGGGUCAGAAACCUACU